CCUACGGGAGGCAGCAGUGAGGAAUAUUGGUCAAUGGACGAGAGUCUGAACCAGCCAAGUAGCGUGAAGGAUGACUGCCCUAUGGGUUGUAAACUUCUUUUAUAUGGGAAUAAAAUGUUCCACGUGUGGGAUUUUGUAUGUACCAUAUGAAUAAGGAUCGGCUAACUCUGUGCCAGCAGCCGCGGUAAUACGGAGGAUCCGAGCGUUAUCCGGAUUUAUUGGGUUUAAAGGGAGCGUAGGUGGAUUGUUAAGUCAGUUGUGAAAGUUUGCGGCUCAACCGUAAAAUUGCAGUUGAAACUGGCAGUCUUGAGUGCAGUAGAGGUGGGCGGAAUUCGUGGUGUAGCGGUGAAAUGCUUAGAUAUCACGAAGAACUCCGAUUGCGAAGGCAGUUCACUGGACUGCAACUGACGCUGAGGCUCGAAAGUGUGGGUAUCAAACAGGAUUAGAUACCCCAGUAGUC
rnacentral:rRNA from 1 species